GCAAGUCGAGCGAGAAAGCACUUCGGUGCGAGUACAGCGGCGGACGGGUGAGUAACGUGUAGGAAUCUACCUGGUAGUGGGGGACAACAUGUGGAAACGCAUGCUAAUACCGCAUACGCCCUAUGGGGGAAAGUGGGGGACCUUCGGGCCUCACGCUAUCGGAUGAGCCUGCGUAAGAUUAGCUAGUUGGUGGGGUAAAGGCUCACCAAGGCGACAAUCUUUAGCUGGUCCGAGAGGAUGAUC
rnacentral:rRNA from 1 species